UGCUAGAGCCAUAUCUCACCUGGUUUCCCACUGAAGCUAAGCAGGGUUGAGCCUGGUCAGUACCUGUAUGGGAGACUGCCUAGGGAAAACUAAGAUUGCUGUUGGAA
rnacentral:rRNA from 1 species